AUUGAACGCUGGCGGCAGGCCUAACACAUGCAAGUCGAACGGUAACAGGAAGAAGCUUGCUUCUUUGCUGACGAGUGGCGGACGGGUGAGUAAUGUCUGGGAAACUGCCGGAUGGAGGGGGAUAACUACUGGAAACGGUAGCUAAUACCGCAUAACGUCGCAAGACCAAAGAGGGGGACCUUCGGGCCUCUUGCCAUCGGAUGUGCCCAGAUGGGAUUAGCUAGUAGGUGGGGUAACGGCUCACCUAGGCGACGAUCCCUAGCUGGUCUGAGAGGAUGACCAGCCACACUGGAACUGAGACACGGUCCAGACUCCUACGGGAGGCAGCAGUGGGGAAUAUUGCACAAUGGGCGGAAGCCUGAUGCAGCAACGCCGCGUGCGGGAUGACGGCCUUCGGGUUGUAAACCGCUUUCGCCUGUGACGAAGCGUGAGUGACGGUAAUGGGUAAAGAAGCACCGGCUAACUACGUG
rnacentral:rRNA from 1 species